GUGGUUUAAUUUCGAAAGCAACGCGAAGAACCUUACCAGGCCUUGACAUGCUAGGAACCCGGGUGAAAGCCUGGGUGCCCGCGAGGGGAGCCCUAGCACAGGUGCUGCAUGGCCGUCGUCAGCUCGUGCCGUGAGGUGUUGGGUUAAGUCCCGCAACGAGCGCAACCCCUAUUGUUAGUUGCCAUCAUUCAGUUGGGCACUCUAGCGAGACUGCCGGUAAUAAACCGGAGGAAGGUGGGGAUGACGUCAAAUCAUCAUGCCCCUUAUGACCUGGGCUACACACGUGCUACAAUGGUUGGUACAACGAGUUGCGAGUCGGUGACGGCGAGCUAAUCUCUUAAAGCCAAUCUCAGUUCGGAUUGUAGGCUGCAACUCGCCUACAUGAAGUCGGAAUCGCUAGUAAUCGCGGAUCAGCACGCCCGCGGUCGAAUACGUUCCGGGCCUU
rnacentral:rRNA from 1 species